rnacentral:rRNA from 1 species
AUUGAACGCUGGCGGCAUGCCUUACACAUGCAAGUCGAACGGCAGCACGGGAGCAAUCCUGGUGGCGAGUGGCGAACGGGUGAGUAAUACAUCGGAACGUGCCCAGUUGUGGGGAUAGCCCGGCGAAAGCCGGAUUAAUACCGCAUACGACCUACGGGUGAAAGCGGGGGAUCGCAAGACCUCGCGCAAUUGGAGCGGCC